rnacentral:rRNA from 1 species
UACGUAGGGGGCUAGCGUUGUCCGGAAUCAUUGGGCGUAAAGAGCGUGUAGGCGGUCCGGUAAGUCCGCUGUGAAAGUCGGGGGCUCAACCCUCGAAUGCCGGUGGAUACUGUCGGGCUUGAGUCCGGAAGAGGCGAGUGGAAUUCCUGGUGUAGCGGUGAAAUGCGCAGAUAUCAGGAGGAACACCAAUGGCGAAGGCAGCUCGCUGGGACGUGACUGACGCUGAGACGCGAAAGCGUGGGGAGCAAACAGG